GCGGCGCUCACCCUCAGUCCACACCUGCCUCAGCCCCUGACUGCCAGCUCCGAUCCGCCUCCGAUCUUCGACGGGACUACCCGGUUGUAUAUAGCUUACAUUUGCCCGUUCGCACAACGGACAUGGAUUGCCAGGAACUAUAAGGGAUUGCAAGAUAAGAUUGAGUUGGUGCCGAUUGAUCUGCAAGAUAGGCCGGUUUGGUAUAAGGAGAAGGUUUACCCGGAGAAUAAGGUGCCCUCUUUGGAGCAUAACAACAAAGUCAAGGGAGAGAGCCUAGAUUUGCUCAAGUACAUCGAUGAAAAUUUUGAAGGCCCUGCAUUACUUCCUAAUGAUCCUGCAAAGCAAAAGUUU
rnacentral:misc_RNA from 1 species